rnacentral:lncRNA from 1 species
AUAUAUCAGUUUAUUAAAGCACACACAACAUUUUAUCACAGAGACAAAACAGCGGAAAAGAAAAGGGCGAGUAUUACCUGUUAUCGGGCAGUGAACGGAGAUGCUUUGGUCUAAGGCCUACGUUCGAAUAACGACCAACUCGAAACUAGAGUUCUUAGCCGAGAUCAAAAUAGAACCAAAAUGAUAUUUUGGAGCAAAAUAAACAGUGGUUAAGGGGCUAUAGUGCGAUGGAAAAACUUCUUAAAGAAAUGAAUGCCCAAGGCUUCUAUGGAGGCUGAAAAAAUCUCUCCCCUGGCUAAAGAUGUAAGGAUGUAUUUAUAGGUAANN